rnacentral:rRNA from 1 species
ACGGGAGGCAGCAGUAGGGAAUAUUGCACAAUGGGGGAAACCCUGAUGCAGCGACGCCGCGUGAGUGAUGAAGUAUUUCGGUACGUAAAGCUCUAUCAGCAGGGAAGAUAAUGACGGUACCUGACUAAGAAGCCCCGGCUAACUACGUGCCAGCAGCCGCGGUAAUACGUAGGGGGCAAGCGUUAUCCGGAUUUACUGGGUGUAAAGGGAGUGUAGGUGGUCUGGUAAGUCAGAUGUGAAAACCCAAGGCUCAACUUUGGGACUGCAUUUGAAACUACUGGACUUGAGUGCAGGAGAGGAAAGUGGAAUUCCUAGUGUAGCGGUGAAAUGCGUAGAUAUUAGGAAGAACACCAGUGGCGAAGGCGGCUUUCUGGACUGUAACUGACACUGAGGCUCGAAAGCGUGGGGAGCAAACAGGAUUAGAUACCCUGGUA